AAUGAACGUUGGCGGCGUGGAUUAGGCAUGCAAGUCGAGCGAGAAGUUUACUUCGGUAAAUGGACAGCGGCGAAAGGGACAGUAAUGUGUAGGUACCUACCCCCCGAUCUGGGAUAGCUGCGGGAAACUGCAGGUAAUACCGGAUAAUGUCUUCGGACCAAAGGUGUGAUUCCGUCAGGGGAGGGGCCUGCAUCCUAUUAGCUUGUUGGUGAGGUAAUGGCUCACCAAGGCAACGAUGGGUAGCGGGUGUGAGAGCAUGACCCGCGUCAUUGGGACUGAGACACUGCCCAGACAUCUACGGAUGGCUGCAGUCGAGAAUCUUCGGCAAUGGGCGAAAGCCUGACCGAGCGACGCCGCGUGCGGGAUGAAGGCCUUCGGGUUGUAAACCGCUGUCGUUGGGGAGGAAAUGCAAAAGGGUUAUCCCUUCUGUUUGACCGAUCCAAGGAGGAAGUACGGG
rnacentral:rRNA from 1 species